GAAUUUUGGACAAUGGGCGAAAGCCUGAUCCAGCAAUGCCGCGUGCAGGAUGAAGGCCUUCGGGGUGUAAACUGCUUUUUUACGGAACGAAAAGCGUUUGGUUAAUACCCUGUAGUCAUGACGGUUCCGGAAGAAUAAGCACCGGCCCACUACGUGCCAGCCGCCGCGGGAAUCCGGAGGGUGCAAGCGUUAAACGGAAUUACUGGGGGUAAAGCGGGCGCAGGGGGUUUUGGAAAACAAAGGGGAAAACCCCGGGCCCAACCUGGGAACUUCCUUUGGGACUGGAAUGCUAGGGUACGGGAGAGGGGGGUGGAAUUCCGCGUGUAGCAGUGAAAUGCGUAGGUAUGCGGAGGAACACCGAUGGCGAAGGCAACCCCCUGGGCCUGUACUGACGCUCAUGCACGAAAGCGUGGGGAGCAAACA
rnacentral:rRNA from 1 species